AGAGAGCAGUACAGCAUCAUCUAUCCCUACCGCUCAGGAACGAUAUCAUAAUGCAAGUGAGAGUCACAAUCACGUGUCGGCAGAUAGCAAUCUGGGGAGACAUGUCUAACAUGGCGGAAAGGGGUGCAACUGUUGCAGAUCUUGUUUUCAGCCAAGAGGAUCAGAUGCAGUGGUAUCUAUCGAAAAAAAUAAAAUGAU